CAACCCUCAGGCCCGGCCUGGUGUUGGGGAUUGGCUUCGCAGCCAGCCCCGAAAUGCAGUGGCGGCCCUCCGCAACUCCUCUGUGUAGUAGUGAUACCCGCAUUGGAUAGUGGUUGCGCCUCGCCGUAAAACCUCCAACUCUUCAA
rnacentral:misc_RNA from 1 species